rnacentral:lncRNA from 1 species
CCAGAUGUUCAUGCUCUAGUCACCCUUUACAGAGAGAGCCAACAGAGGAGCGACUAGAGCAGAAUUGGAUGAACCUGGAUUGGUCGAACGAGUGGUGGGUGGCGGAGGUCCCUGAUUCAACGUGGAGACCCGGAGGGGAGGGAAGAGGGAGCCACCACAUAAAGUUUUGACUAUAUGCAUAGUACCAUGACCAUGCUAGGUCUUCAUUUGCUGCAAACCACCAAUUUCUGCGAAGCAGCAACCACAGAUCAGAACACAUCAUAGAAAAAGCAUUGUCAUAAAAAAAAUCUCAAAUUAAUGAAAAAACAUUGUCAUAAAAGUUUUGCCUCAUACAUGUAGUUUCACAAAUAACAGGUAAGACCUCUUCAUUUACCAACUUAUAUGCAUAGAAACUCACUAACACUAGAAUAGAAACUCACUUGAUGCAAAUACUAGAAAACUAUACGUGCGAGCACAAAAAAUAAUUAGGAACCUGGUCGAUUAGCACCGGUACUAUGACAGGAAGAAAAAAAAUCCACAUGCAGCCAAUUAGUAGUAUUACUAUCACGAGAAGCACAUAAAAAAUCCACAUGCUGCACAUGAGAGCUGGCGGGGCCGCAAAAAGCCGUCCUAUCCAAACAACCAGGAUCCAAAGCUUGGCCAAAAGUAGCUCAAGCUAAAAUCACAUAUCACAUGCAUGAACUAAAUGCGUAAAAACCUAACUCAUCAAGCGAGGAUCCAAAAAUUAAGAUUUUAAUUUCAUAGCAGACCACUAAUAUGCAAAUACAGGUACUUAGAUGGACGCAAGUACU